rnacentral:lncRNA from 1 species
UCCGUAUAUAAUCCAAAUAUUAUAUACGGAUUUUCCGUAUGUAAGGGAGAAAGUUUUAUAUACGGAUUAUCCGUAUGUAAGAUCGGUAUGUAAUGGGGAAGAUAAAAUUAUCUACUGAUUUUAAAUACGGAUAUUAAGUGUAGUUAUAAUUAAAAAAUUAUCUUUAGUAAUUAAAAAAUAAGAUAGUUCAGAUUCUCACUUUCGACUCUUCUCACUUCUGCCCCUUUCUCUUCUCACUCUCGAGCCCACCUUCUCCCUGCAUUGUCACUCCUAGUUUGCAUAGUCGUUCUCCGUGAUCUAAAGUAGUCUGCAACCACAAUGGUCCGUGAGCCGACAGUCGUUGUCCUUCACUGAAACUGUAACCUCGCAGUCGUUUUCCCUCGUGUCACGGGAACCCUCUUUUUCCUUCUGCCGAACCACCAUCCUCCCCCAUUGGAACCGUAGUUGCUCUGGUUGUCCUCGUACU